rnacentral:rRNA from 1 species
AGAGUUUGAUCCUGGCUCAGAUUGAACGCUGGCGGCAUGCUUUACACAUGCAAGUCGAACGGGGUUAAGGGGCUUGCUCCUUAAUCUAGUGGCGAACGGGUGAGUAAUGCAUCGGAACGUACCCGGGAGUGGGGGAUAACGCACCGAAAGGUGUGCUAAUACCGCAUAUUCUGUGAGCAGGAAAGCAGGGGACCUUAGGGCCUUGUGCUUCCGGAGCGGCCGAUGUCGGAUUAGCUAGUUGGUGAGGUAAAGGCUCACCAAGGCGACGAUCCGUAGCGGGUCUGAGAGGAUGAUCCGCCACACUGGGACUGAGACACGGCCCAGACUCCUACGGGAGGCAGCAGUGGGGAAUUUUGGACAAUGGGCGCAAGCCUGAUCCAGCCAUGCCGCGUGUCUGAAGAAGGCCUUCGGGUUGUAAAGGACUUUUGUCAGGAAGGAAAACCUAUUGGCUAAUAUCCAGUGGGGAUGACAGUACCUGAAGAAUAAGCACC